rnacentral:rRNA from 1 species
ACACGGGACUGCCGGUCUUAAGCCGGAGGAAGGUGGGGAUGAUGUCAAGUCAGCAUGGCCUUUAUAUCCUGGGCUACACACACGCUACAAUGGGCCAAACACAAUAGGUUGCUAAGCCGCGAGGUGGCGCCAAUCCAUAAAGUUGGUCUCAGUUCAGAUUGUAGGCUGCAACCCGCCUGCAUGAAGAUGGAGUUGCUAGUAACCGCAGGUCAGCUAUACUCGCGGUUCCGAAUACGUUCCGGGCCUU